UUAGUGGCGCACGGGUGAGUAAUAUAUAGAUAAUGUGCCUCUUAGUCUGGGAUAGCCAUUGGAAACGAUGAUUAAUACUAGAUACUCCUUCUUACUCAAAUGUAGGUUGGGAAAGGAACAUCUUUAUGGUGUUUCGCUAAGAGAUCAGUCUAUAUCCCAUCAGGUAGUUGGUAGUGUAAGAGACUACCAAGCCUAUGACGGGUAGCGGGUUUGAGAGGAUGAUCCGCCACACUGGUACUGAGACACGGACCAGACUCCUACGGGAGGCAGCAGUGAGGAAUAUUGCACAAUGGGGGAAACCCUGAUGCAGCAACGCCGCGUGGAGGAUGACGCAUUUCGGUGUGUAAACUCCUUUUAUGAGUCAAGAAAAUGACGGUAGCUCAUGAAUAAGCACCGGCUAACUCCGUGCCAGCAGCCGCGGUAAUACGGAGGGUGCAAGCGUUAUUCGGAAUCACUGGGCGUAAAGGACGCGUAGGCGGGAAGCCAAGUCUGAUGUGAAAUCCUAUGGCUUAACCAUAGAACUGCAUUGGAAACUGGUUACCUAGAGUAUGGGAGGGGGAGAUGGAAUUAGUGGUGUAGGGGUAAAAUCCGUAGAUAUCACUAGGAAUACCGAAAGCGAAGGCGAUCUCCUGGAACAAUACUGACGCUAAGGCGUGAAAGCGUGGGGAGCAAACGGGAUUAGAUACCCCGGUAGUCCACGCCCUAAACGAUGUUCACUAGUCGUCGGAAUGCUAGUCAUUUCGGUGAUGCACUUAACAGAUUAAGUGAACCGCCUGGGGAGUACGGUCGCAAGAUAAAAACUCAAAGGAAUAGACGGGGACCCGCACAAGUGGUGGAGCAUGUGGUUUAAUUCGAAGAUACGCGAAGAACCUUACCUAGCCUUGACAUUGAAGAAACACUUUAGAGAUAGAGUGGUGCCCUUCGGGGAAUCUGAAAACAGGUGCUGCACGGCUGUCGUCAGCUCGUGUCGUGAGAUGUUGGGUUAAGUCCCGCAACGAGCGCAACCCUCGUCCUUAGUUGCCAGCAGGUUAUGCUGGGCACUUUAAGGAGACUGCCUUGUAAGGAGGAGGAAGGUGAGGACGACGUCAAGUCAUCAUGGCCCUUAUGGCUAGGGCUACACACGUGCUACAAUGGGGCGUACAGAGAGUUGCGAUAC
rnacentral:rRNA from 1 species